GCGUACCGGUUAUUUAGCAUUUAAUUAAUUGCGUGAAAGUGCCUAAUCACCAUAUAUUACGCAUUCAAUGAAAAUGGAGUACUGUCCCCCAAAUGUAACACUGGGGGAGGUGUGGGUGGACCAUGGUAUAUCUCAAUGCUUCAUGGAGACUGUCUCUGGAGCAAUCAUUGGUGGAUUCCUCAUAAUAUGUGGAAUUAUGCAGAUUGUUAUGUAUAAACGAUAUGCCACAGAAGUGACGGAUGUAAGAUGUUCACGACUAUUCGGCGUGCAAAUAUUCUUCACCAUAUUAAUACCUAUUCUUGGUGUGAUAAGGUUCCUGUUACAAGCUUUGGUAUUCAAAGGAGGACAUAUUUAUGGUUAUAUGAUUUUAGCACUAAUAGUAAGCCUGAUAGUGUUUCCCCUCUCAGCGUAUUUGGCUAUACUCGAAAGGAGGUAUCUUCUACCCUCAGUGCCUCCACGGGGCCAUGGUUUUGUGUUACUCGUCUUCUGGGCCAUGGUCUUUGUGUCUGAAAAUCUGUCGUUUUUGAAUCUUAACAAGGAAGGGUGGUGGUGGCAUUUAAGGGACCUUCAAGACCGGUUAGAAAUGGCAUUGUUCGUUGGACGUUACGUGUCCUGCAUGAUCAUGUUCAUUCUUGGUAUGAAAGCACCGGGCAUUAUGCACCAAUUUGAGCUUCUUGUGAAUGAGGAUAUUCGCAGGAAUUUGCCUCCAAGGAACGAAAAUAGAUCGACGUUCCGCAACGUCUUCAGCAAGUUGCGCAUUCUACUGCCAUUCCUUUGGCCACGCAAGAACUUCUGUCUGCAGUUAAAUGUGUUGAUUUGCGUCUUAGCGCUCAUCGGAGGGCGAAUUGUCAACUUAUACGUGCCUAUUUAUAAUAAAAAAAUAGUGGACAGUAUAUCACCAUCGACAACACAGUACUUCUGCUGGGAUUUGGUGUUGAUAUAUGUGUUCUUCAAGUUCCUGCAGGGCGGUGGCACCGGUGGAAUGGGCUUCUUGAACAACCUUCGCUCCUUCCUUUGGAUUCGAGUGCAACAGUAUACUACUAGAGAAUUAGAGUUGGAGUUAUUCAAGCACCUUCACGAACUGCCUCUUCGGUGGCAUCUCUCACGUAAAACUGGCGAAGUUCUCCGUGUAAUGGACAGAGGCACUGACUCCAUAGACAAUCUACUCUCCUACAUUCUGUUUUCUAUAACGCCAACAAUCGUCGACAUAUUAAUUGCGAUCGGGUAUUUUGUUACGGCUUUCAAUGUGUGGUUUGGAUUUAUCGUUUUUUCUACCAUGGUGCUUUAUAUCAUUGCAACAAUAGCAGUAACGGAAUGGAGGACGAAGUACCAGAGGCGCAUGAAUCUCGCGGACAACGAGCAAAAGGCUCGUUCCGUUGACUCGCUGCUCAACUAUGAAACUGUCAAAUACUACGGCGCCGAGAAUUACGAAGUGAUGGCUUAUAAAGAUUGUAUUCUCAAUUACCAAAAAGAAGAAUUUAAUUCCUUGAUAACCUUGAAUAUGUUAAACACGAUGCAAAACAUCAUUAUAUGCAGUGGCCUUCUGGCUGGGUCUCUACUGGCUAUUCACAUGGUGGUAGAAACUAGGCAGCUCACAGUUGGAGACUAUGUGCUGUUCGCUUCUUACAUAGUACAACUUUACGUGCCACUUAAUUGGUUCGGUACUUACUAUAGAGCAAUUCAAAAGAACUUCGUAGACAUGGAGAACAUGUUCGACUUGAUGCGCGAAGAAGCAGACGUGAAGGACGCCAUCGGUGCGCCGGAGUUGCUCGUCAGGAGAGGGGCUGUGGAGUUCAAACACGUGUCUUUCGGCUACGGACCCGAGAGACUCGUGCUGAACAAUAUCAAUUUCAAGGUUGCGCCCGGCUCUACUGUAGCUUUGGUUGGUCCCAGUGGUGCUGGUAAAUCAACAAUAAUGCGGCUUCUCUUCCGAUUCUAUGAUGUGAACGAAGGUGCAGUGCUAGUAGACGGUCAAGAUGUUCGCACGGUUACCCAAAGCUCGCUUCGGUCUAACAUUGGCGUCGUGCCACAAGACACUGUCCUGUUUAACAAUACCGUCAGAUAUAAUAUCCAGUACGGAAAAUUGGACGCACCGACAGCUGACAUCAUAGCAGCAGCUAAGAACGCUGAUAUUCAUGACAGAAUUCUCACAUUCCCUGAUGCUUACGAUACACGGGUGGGAGAGAGAGGCUUAAAACUAAGUGGAGGAGAAAAGCAGAGAAUAGCGAUAGCGCGAACUAUACUCAAAGAUCCCACUAUCGUACUACUGGACGAGGCUACCUCCGCCCUUGACACGAAUACUGAAAGAAAUAUUCAGGCGGCGUUAGCGCGAGUAUGUGCAAAUAGAACAACAAUAAUUAUAGCGCACAGAUUGUCCACUAUCAUCCACGCCGACGAGAUAUUGGUGCUCAAAGACGGAGAAAUUAUUGAGAGAGGAAACCACGAAGCACUGCUAGCGCAAGGUGGUUUUUACGCAUCAAUGUGGCAGCAGCAGCUAGAGAGCCGCAACAGCGCGGCUUUAGACGCGGCUGACGGACCUAACAACAACAAUGAACCACAUAACCAGCCAAGCAACGGCCUUUCCUUCGCCCAUACCCAUGGAUUUGCAUAAACUCAGCGUGAACAAAGUAUUAUAGUUAGUGAGUGACAGUGAUAUGAACAGUGAAGGGAGUACAAGUGAAUUUAGUGGUCACUUUUCUUCUCUGCACUGGAUUACAAAUAUGUUAUAGCUUUACACCAUCAUUGAUAAUCUCCUAUGUACUAACUGGACUUAGAAGAAAACACAUUAGUUCCUUUUCUAUAUUAGACUUUUUUUAAUAUUUACACAAAUUUAGUUAACUAUCAUCAAUAAAUAUUUUACUAUUGGUUGAAGAAGAAAUGCAUGUAGAAAUAAGCUUCGAAUAAUUGCGUACUCCUGAAUACUGUUAUCAAUUACUUGACGUUCCUGUUAUAACAAAUUGUAGGACAAGUAGCGCCGUACUUAUUAGAGCGAACCACCAAAGAAUAGUACGAACUAUGUACGGCGUUUCUGCGACUAAGUGGCAGAAUUUUGGGGUCAAAGAAACUGUGAUUAAGGUGAAUGCUAAAGAACAAAGACUGGUAUGGACGAGGAAUGUACGGCGUUGUAUGGCACGAAGAAGAAAGUUUUGAGGUCGAGGAACUAAGUCUGAAUUAUGCUGAACGCUAUACUUAUGUUACACCCUCUGUGUUAUCUAGUUGCAACAUCAAAUAAUGGUACAGACUAGGAAUAUACGGUGUUGUAAGGCGCGAAAAUCAAAUUCCAUUAUUUGGGGGUUCGCAUAAAUGAAAUCUGUGAAUUAAGGUAUAUAGAAGGAUAAUAAAAAGUAUAUUUGCUUUGGUGCGUCUGGUAAGUGUGCAGUUAUGGCUUGUUUACAUCUACGUCAAUUUAGAAAAAGAAAUUUUGUGCUUGGAAUAAGGUAUAUUUAAUUUUUCUAGCUUGUUUUUUCAUAGGCUCAUACUUUGGAGAUGUAAUCAGCUUGUAUUAAGGACGUGACUGAUCGCUUGUACAGCGUUUUAUGGCGCGAAAAAGAAAGUUUUGAGGUCGAGGAAAUUAGUCUGUAAAUUGUGGUGAAUCCUAUACUUCUAGAUACCAUUUCAGAGUCAUCUAGUUGCAACCUCAAAGAACGGUGCAGACUAGGAAUGUACGGCGUUGUAUGGCGCGAAAAACAAGUUUCAUGUUUUCGGGGGUCGAAUAAAUUAAGUAUGUGACGUAAGGUAUAUAGAAGGAUAAUAAAAGCACUUAAGCAAUAUUUGCUUUGGUGUGUCUGGAAAGUGUGGAGUUAUGGUUUGUUUACAUAUACGUCAAUUUAGAAAAAAAUUGAAGUUUAAAUAACUAAUAUUUAUUUUUUCUAGGUUGUUUUUUCAAAACUACGAAUGUACCCAUAUUCUUAGUUUGGAGAUGUAAUCAGGUUUGUAUUAAGGACAUGACUGAUCGCUUGAAAAAUAGUGUUUUCUAAAUGAUGUUUCAGUGUAAAAUAUUCGUAGUUUUACAGUUUUUCGCUUUUAAGAUUGAGGGCUGCUGAAGAUUAUAUAAAGUAUAUUUUAUGGGUACGUAGUUAGGGUUAUUCCCAUCUUAAGUUAUUUGUAUUUGUUAGUAGAACAAUCCAACAAUGGAUCCAACUAGAUGAAGUUGUUAACAUUGUA